AAGAAGAUAAGGUUUGUUUGGUUUGUUAUAAACAAGGAAAGGGAUCGUGAUUAUGGGAAGGGAAUCAAAUUGCAAAACGCAGAGGCAGAUCAAAAUCUGAGAAUCCAUUUCCUCUUCAAAUUUUCGCUUGCCUUCAAUACUCCCCAAGUUCCAAUUUCAUCAACUACCUGCUACCUUCGUCGUUCAUCAUCACCCUUCGCUCACAAUAACUCAACAUACACUUCAACCCAUCUUCAUCAAACCACAACCCUUCAUCUUCAUACAUCAACUACCAAGCACAUACUCCCACCCUCCAUUCAAAACAACACAAGCCAGCUCAAUCCGCGAUAA